rnacentral:lncRNA from 1 species
GGAAUCUAGGCUUGGGGUGUUUGUUUCCAUAUGGGGUGCUGGUCUCCAUGAGUGGUCUUCUGUCUUGUUUGCAUUCUUGGGCAACAGCUUGGGUUGCUGGAGGCUGGCCACAUCGCCAACAUCACUGGCCUGCAUUUUGAAUAGGAGCCAGAGCUAGAUGCCGGCAGAGGCCAGCUCAGCUGGUGCCUGUCCCUGGCCUCACUGUCAGCGAAGACCUGUUGGAGGCCCAGUGCUUUGCCUCUGCUGCCCUCCCUGACUCGUGAUGCCCCAUCCCCAGUCUCUGCCUCUGUCCAGCACCCUACUGAUGAUGGUUUCUUCAACACAGAGAAAACUCAGUCUGCAUGAAAGAAGGAGGGCCCUUGUCUCCACUGCCAGCUGUGUGUAUGUGCGCAUGUGCACGUGCAUGCUAGGUUGUGAGUCUGAAGGGCUUCUGGCAUGGGGAGGGAGUGAAGCGGGAGACUGGACAUACCAGGGCCGAGGGCUGAGCGGGAAUGUCAUAUCUCAGGAUGGCUUCUCUGGAAGUCUGCAGGAAGCAAUCAGGAAGUGACACGAGGAAGAAGGAAGCACAUGUGCAGAGGGCAGGAAGCUAAGGAAGAUGGGCCCACAAGGUGGGGGUGACCUCUCAGAGAAGGGGCAGCAGAAAGCGGUGGACGGCGUGCCCCCAGGUCAGUUACCCUAGACAGUGCCAGUUGCUCUUGCGUUCCUUGCCUUGGGCAUAAUACUCCUCUCUCUUGAAGGUGCUCUGCUUGAGGCGCUUUAAUCAUAAGGACACCUGGAGUGAGUGUUGAGUGCUUGGUCCCCAGGGCAGCCUAGCCAGGGUUCACUAGCAGGAGUCUGAGCCUCGCCACAGCGUGGGCUCUCUAGCAGAUGUGUCCUACCUACAUGAUGUCUGUCAUUCACAAAGUUCAUGCUCAAGAACUGCUCAAUCAGGUACUCUUCCCCCCGCCAAAGGAAUCACAAGAAGAUUAAUGUUUUGAGAAAGUUCAUGACUUUGUGUGACAUGCAUUUGUGGCUACCCUUGGCUGAAUGUGGUCGGUGGCCAGCAGGCUGGAUGAGCUUACAAGCUACGAGCCUAAAUAAGUUUCUUCUCUUUGUACUUGAUAUUUGUGACAGUAAUGGGAAGUGGUGUGUGUGUUCGUUCAUUUAUUUAUAGCAGGGAAGGCCAAGGCUGAGGCUUCAGGCCCCAGAGUGAGGGUGGGUGAGCUGAGCCCUUCUGUCACCUGAGCGUUCCUGUCCCUCAUGGUGAAGGGUGAACUUGGGAGUUUUGGGGACAUACAUUCUGGGCCUGGCAGAAUGUGUUGGUGAUGAGACGAAGGUACAUUAACUAGGACUUGGCAGCCAUGAUGGAAAACAAGCUCAAGUAGGCGUGAAUAGGAAGGAGGAGAUUUACAGUUCACAUCACUGAAGUGUCUAAGGGGUCCCAGCUUCAGCCAUCGUUUGAUCUAGGGGCUCUGAUGGUGGUGUAACCUGUUUUUUCUUGCUUCACUGACCCCUACUUUCCUGGGUUCCCUUCUUAUUCAGCUAGGAUCUUCCUGUAAGGAAGUAAAUGUUUCCAGCAGUUGCAAAUUCCAAGCCUCAUUAUCGCAGAUGUCCUGAGAAUGCACUGGGGCUCCUUGGCCUGGCUUGGGAUACAGUUCCCAUUGGUUGGGUCAUGUUCUGUGCCUGUCGUCAUGGUUAGGGGGAGAAGUCAGCCCUGACCUGCAGGUGGAUGAGAGUAGGGGAGAACCAGGAUUUCCUUGAUACAUAGGAAUUCCAGAUAGAAGACAGAGAAGUUUUAUUUUAAAUCUGUUCCAAAUCUUGCACAGGCAAGCCUCACACUAAGCAGUUCUGUGUUGUGUCUGAGAUGCCCAGUGCUCUGGGUGGAGUCGGACAGCCCAGGAUAGACAUCCAAAGAUGAUCAGUAACUCUGGAGGGAGGAGCUAUGCAUGGACACUGGGAGGGGCUGGACAGGAGAUUCUCACUCACAGAUUCUAUAGCGAGCACAUAGAGUCAGAAGGAGGGACAAAGAUACUUGGGUCCCCCAGAGAAUGGUCUGAAGUUCAGCCUAGAGCUGUAGAUGAGCGCUCUGAGGAGAUGAAGGGUGGAAAUGUCCCUUCUCUCUGCCAGCAGAGACUGAGUUCUGGUGUGAGGUCCUACCCUUCGCUGGCUACACUGUCAUUACUAUGAUUUCUGGGCCCGAACCUGUGCUCUUUCUGGUUUACACAAGACCGAGCAGCCUGUCUGCUGUCUGGGAAGUCACCGCGUGAGGUCGGAGCUCCCCAACUGCAGAUACUUAAGUGGGAACCUGUCUUAGGUCAAAGGCAAGGAUUGUCUCUGGUCUCGAGGUUGUCCCAAGGCAGUCAAAUGAAGGAACUAAGAUGCAAAGGUUCCAUUUCUGGGUGGGGCUCUGGACUCUAGCUUGGUCCUGUGAGGACCUCUAUAGAUUAUGACUUCUCUCUAGAGUUUGUCCAGACUCAACAGGGGCUUUAGCCCCCUCUGCUCUUCUCAGGGCCACACAGUUCUGAGCCUUCAGAUCAGGUGCCAGGGUGGGUUUUGAGGAAGCCUCAUAAGAGUGGCAGCUGGGAGGCCUCAAGGAGCCUUGUGUGCUGAGGCUCCAGAGUGGUGAGCUAGUCACCCUAUCAAAGGCUCUCACAGUGCUAACACAGGGGUCAGUAGAGUGUGUCAGACCCUCCGUGGGGAGACCCCUGGAUACGUUGUGUGGUCUUUCUGACUGCCGGGGCUGAACUGGCUGCAUACAGAACCUGCUCCUGGCUGUAAAUGGGUUGGGGAAACUCCUGAGCUGAUCUCUUGCUCCUACUUUGGGUCUUUGGGGUACUGAUGGUGGCUCUGCUGCUACUGGGCUCUGUAACCCUGGCAUGUUCUGUCUCUUUUUGCGGCCUCUUUUCCCACCUAUACUCUGGUUCUUAUAAACAUCUAC